ensembl:misc_RNA Metazoa_SRP Metazoan signal recognition particle RNA
GCCGGGCAUGGUGGCGCAUACCUGUAAUCCCAGCUACUUGGGAGGCUGAGGCAGGAGAAUUGCUUGAACCCAGGAGGUGGAGGCUGCAGUGAGCUGAGAUCAUGCGACUGCACUCCAUCCUGGGUGAUAAAGUGAGACUCUGUCUCCA